AUUGAAUGCUGGCGGCAUGCUUUACACAUGCAAGUCGAACGGUAACAGGGUGCUUGCACCGCUGACGAGUGGCGAACGGGUGAGUAAUGCGCCGGAACGUGCCGAGUAGUGGGGGAUAACGCAGCGAAAGUUGUGCUAAUACCGCAUACGUACUGAGGUAGAAAGGGGGGGACCUUCGGGCCUCACGCUAUUCGAGCGGCCGACGUCUGAUUAGCUAGUAGGUGAGGUAAAGGCUCACCUAGGCGACGAUCAGUAGCGGGUCUGAGAGGAUGAUCCGCCACACUGGGACUGAGACACGGCCCAGACUCCUACGGGAGGCAGCAGUGGGGAAUUUUGGACAAUGGGCGAAAGCCUGAUCCAGCCAUGCCGCGUGUCUGAAGAAGGCCUUCGGGUUGUAAAGGACUUUUGUCGGGGAGGAAAUCCCCAGCGUUAAUACCGCUGGGGGAUGACAGUACCUGAAGAAUAAGCACCGGCUAACUACGUGCCAGCAGCCGCCGUAACAC
rnacentral:rRNA from 1 species